rnacentral:rRNA from 1 species
UACAGAGGUCUCGAGCGUUAGGCGGAAUCACUGGGCUUAAAGCGUGUGUAGGUGGAUCGUUAAGUACCUUGUGAAAUCCCACGGCUUAACCGUGGAACUGCUUGGUAUACUGGCGGUCUUGAGCCACUUAGGGGCUACCGGAACAAAUGGUGGAGCGGUGAAAUGCGUAGAUAUCGUUUGGAACGCCAAUGGUGAAAACAGGUUGCUGGGAGUGCGCUGACGCUGAGACACGAAAGCCAGGGGAGCGAACGGG